rnacentral:rRNA from 1 species
GGGGGACCACCCUCCAAGCCUAAAUACUCGUACAUGACCGAUAGCGAACACAGUACCGUGAGGGAAAGGUGAAAAGAACCGCGGAUAGCGGAGUGAAAAGAACCUGAAACCGUGUGCUUACAAGCAGUUAGAGGGCUAUAAAUGGCCUGAUAGCGUGCCUUUUGCAUAAUGAGCCUACGAGUUACUCCUCACUGGCAAGGUUAAGUGCAUUGAUGCACGCAGGCGCAGCGAAAGCGAGUCUGAAUAGGGCGUGUAGUCAGUGGGGGUAGACGCGAAACCUAGUGAGCUACCCUUGAGCAGGAUGAAGGAGCGGUAACACGCUGUGGAGGUCCGAACCAGUUUCCGUUGAAAAGGAUUUGGAUGACUUGAGGGUAGGGGUGAAAGGCCAAUCAAACUCCGUGAUAGCUGGUUCUCUCCGAAAUGCAUUUAGGUGCAGCGUUAUAUGUUGAGCUUGCCGGAGGUAGAGCUACUGGUUGGUUGAGCGGGACUAUCAUCUUAGCAACAUCAGCCAAACUCCGAAUGCCGGUGUAAGUGUGUAUAGCAGUGAGACUGUGGGGGAUAAGCUUCAUAGUCGAGAGGGAAACAGCCCAGAUCGCCGGUUAAGGCCCCUAAGGGUGUACUAAGUGGAAAAGGAUGUGGGAUCGCGAAGACAGCCAGGAGGUUGGCUUAGAAGCAGCCAUCCUUGAAAGAGUGCGUAAUAGCUCACUGGUCGAGU